rnacentral:rRNA from 1 species
UCCCUAUGGGGUGCAGCAGUCGCGAAAAUUUUGCAAUACACGAAAGUGUGACAGAGCUAUCCCGAGUGCCAUCCGCUGAGGAAGGCUUUUACCCAGUAUAAAUAGCUGGGAGAAUAAGGAGAGGGCAAGUCUGGUGUCAGCCGCCGCGGUAAUACCAGCUCUCCGAGUAGUGUGGACGUUUAUUGGGCCUAAAGCAUCCGUAGCUUGCUAGAUAAGUCCCCUGUUAAAUCCACCGAUUCAAUCGUUGGAUUGCGGGGGAUACUGUUUGGCUAGGGGACGGGAGAGGUCGACGGUAUUUCCGGGGUAGGGGUGAAAUCCUAUAAUCCCGGGAAGACCACCAGUGGCGAAGGCUGUCGACUAGAACGCGCUCGACGGUGAGGGAUGAAAGCUGGGGGAGCGAACCGGAUUAGAUACCCGGGUAGUCCCAGCUGUAAACGAUGCAGGCUAGGUGUUGGCGCGGCUACGUGCCGCUCCAGUGCCGCAGGGAAGCCGUUAAGCCUGCCGCCUGGGAAGUACGGCCGCAAGGCUGAAACUUAAAGGAAUUGGCGGGGGAGCACCACAAGGGGUGAAGCUUGCGGUUUAAUUGGAUUCAACGCCGGAA